UACGAAGGGGGCUAGCGUUGUUCGGAUUUACUGGGCGUAAAGCGCACGUAGGCGGAUCGUUAAGUCGGGGGUGAAAUCCUGGAGCUCAACUCCAGAACUGCCUUCGAUACUGGCGAUCUUGAGUCCGGAAGAGGUGAGUGGAACUCCUAGUGUAGAGGUGGAAUUCGUAGAUAUUAGGAAGAACACCAGUGGCGAAGGCGGCUCACUGGUCCGGCACUGACGCUGAGGUGCGAAAGCGUGGGGAGCAAACAGG
rnacentral:rRNA from 1 species